AGGGGAGGGGCCCUGACCAACAGGAAUGAUGCUACCUGCCGAGGCCAGAGGUUUUAAGUAGAGACAGAACAUCUCCUCAACUGCAUACUGGCUGCAGUCUUUGGAUCUCAUCCGUUGCUGUUGCUUUUACUUCCCACAAGUUGCUAACCAUGCUGAAGAAGUUCCUGUUCACCUCGACCUUGUUAGCUUUGGUGCUGGCUUUCCCAAGAGAAAUACCAGAUAUGGUCACUUCUUACAGUGAUGACACAACAGCGAGUCCUACUGUGUCCCCAGAUUUCACCACUUCCUACAUAGUGGAAACAACAUCACAGACAAAUGAUUUCGCCAGAUUUUCUACUGAAGAGGCAACAGCAGAAACAGUUG